AAGGGAGACCAGCUGUUGAUGAACUGAUACCAGAAAAGGUAGUGAAAAGAACAUCAACAGGAAAUCCCAUGGUCGGUCGAGAAGAGUGUGAGGCUUUCAAACUAUUCCGAGUUCGGUUUAUGGGCUAUUAGCUCAGGUGGUUAGAGCGCACCCCUGAUAAGGGUGAGGUCCCUGGUUCGAGUCCAGGAUGGCCCACCUGAACAGGAAAAAAACAGCAGCGGGAAAAAGUAAAGCAACAGGGAGAAUAGCCCGUAAGGGUGUGCUGUCGGCUGAGCUUUUUGGAGGCCAACACUGAACUAAUAAUGUGGGCUAGGGCAGUUAACUAAUUACCAAAGCAUUUGUAUUACCUAGCACUCAGAAAGAUGGAGCUAGUAAAGUGCAGCGGUAAAGUGACAAAGAAUCAGAAAA
rnacentral:tRNA from 1 species